AAAACAGUUCCCCUUGGAAACAACGAAACGUUGACUCACUUGAGCAUCAUUCCCAUAUAUAGUUCAAGCGUGUUAGCGUUAAAUUAAUCAGGAAUUGUGUGUAAAUCUGACUUGCCUUUCUCGUCACGCUUGGAGAACAAAGUUCCAUAACUUUAGUCAACGGAAUUGGUAUGGAAUCACGGGUGUAUUUGGGACAAAUUCAGAUAGAUCCCUCUCGACUUUGUUCCGUUUGUGUUUUGCAACAGAAUUGGCGUAAUCUGUUGCAAUUUCUGAUCUCAGGCUAACAUCCUCCUGUCCUCGGCUGGAUUUCCCAAAAGCAUCAUAGUACUAAAAUAAUCUUAAUUCCAUUUAAAUGAAAUGAACGAAAGAUGAUUGUAGUGCAACGAAAACAAGCUCUGGUCUGGGCAUCAUUUCUGCCACCUGUAGGAGGAGGUUGAAGCUGCACGAUCAAGUUAAACUGAAAGUCUUUCUCUCUGUCAGCCAUGAAGUGCUCAUCUCCUCACCUGCCCCCAACAACUGUACAACAGCCAACAUGCCCCGUUUCCUACUGUCGAAGCCAAGAGGAGAAGACCAUCAUGACGACAGAAGAGGUUCACCUACAGGUACACUGCUGUCUGCCUUGGCCUCCCAGGUGUCCCAUCCGGAGAACAUGGAAGAGAACACCCCGAUUAUUUUACGAAAGGACCUACUCCGCUCUGCCACCAAGGCAUUCAGCUGGAAACUAUUCAACCUCAGAGGUUCAAUGUGAGGGGUCAGUCGACCAACAUGGUUAAACACAGGAGUUCAUUCAGCUGUUGAUGGCAGCCAUCCAAGACUGUUGUUUGUUCCAGGGGCCAGACCACUGCAAAAGCCUAGUAUUGCACUAGUAUUGUAAGAUCGCACUGUUUAUAUGUUCAAAUAUGACACUUUCUAUCUAAUCCUAGAACUCUGUCCUGUUGUAUCACUUUCAGUGUACUCCAAGCAGAGUGAACUAUAAGGUCCUAUAUGGUAUAUUACUACAUAGAUUGGUGGCCUCUUAUGUGCUUUCCAUAGUAAAACCCCCCCUUAUUUUAAUAAGGUGGUAUUAACUUGUACCAUGUUUUAGUUUCAGCCUGGGAUAAUGUACAGGCUGGUGGAGAGCAUGACCAGUGUCUGAGUGGUGAGAUAUGGCCCCACUUCCUGUCCAGGAGAACGUUUGACAUGAUCUGUGGUCUUCCGUUUGCUCCUGUGGCCCUGGACGAGAUCACACGAGGAAAUACGAGCCAGGCUGGAGAAGGCACGUGACAUGUUCAUGUGUUCUUUGCCGUAUAUAUUGGUUUGUGUUUGUAGCCUGAGCCCUGGGCUUGUAUUCACAUAGCUUCUCAGACUAGGAGUGCUGAUCUUGGAUCAGGUCCUUCCUGUACAUACAGGUAACUGCAAAAAUAAAGGAAAUGCCAAUAAUUAGUGUCUUAUUAGGGCGUUAGGCCACCACGAGCCAGAACAGCUUCAGUGGACCUUGGCAUAGAUUCUACAAGUGUCUGGAACUCUUUUGGAGGGAUACAACACCAUUCUUCCAUGAGAAAUUCCAUCAUUUGGUGUUUUGUUGAUUGUGGUGGAAAAUGCUGUCUCAGGCUCUGCUCCAGAAUCUUCCAUAAGUGUUCAAUUGGGUUGAGAUCUGGUGACUGAGACGGACACAUCAUAUGGCUUACAUUGUUUUCAUGCUCAUCAAACCAUUCAGUGACCACACGUGCCCUAUGGAUGGGGCAUUGUCAUCCUAUGGGGGCAAAGCCAUUGUAGCAAACAUAAUGGCCUGUCCAGCAUUGUUAUACAUGACCCUAAGCAUAAUGGGAUGUUAAUUGCCUAAUUAACUCUGGAAGAACCUGCUCUCAAUCUACUUUUUAUCCCUCAUUUACUCAAGUGAGAGUAUUUAGAGUAUUUAAACGUUUUGUAUUGUUUGUUGGUUUGGCAAUGCCACUGUCAGCCUGAGAAAUAUGCUGAGAAGGAUUAUUACCACAGCAAGCAAGGUACUUGGAGUCAAACAGACAGGUCUGGAUGAGAUCUUUAAGGUCAAGGCCCUCCACAAGGCUCACAAAAUCAUUUUAGACCCAAGCAACCCCCUGUACCUGGACUUUGAACUACUCCCCUCUGGGCGCAGGUAUAGAGCAACCCUCAGCAGGAAAAACAGAACUAGACAACCAUUUGUGCCAGGUGUGAUAUCCCUCCUAAAUAGCUCGGGCUAAUGUUCCUAUCGACUGACAAAGGCAGGAAGUAAGUGUUUCCUUUAUUUUGGCAGUGACCUGUAUACUCUUAUUCAUUAUGAUCUUUAAUCGGAAACUGAUCCUAGAUCAGCACUCCUACUCUGAGAUGCUUUGUGAAUACAGGCCUGGGGUUGUGAUUUGCAUUGUGAUAUCGUGUCAUUCAACCCACAGCUUAAGGCGGCCACAACCCUGGAGGCUGCUAGUGAGGUCAUGGAGGAGGAGUCUUUAAUUCUGCGUCCGCUGGGGGUCCUCAGCCCUGUCCAGACAUGGGAAGACAUUGUGCGGUUUGCUGCGAGGGGCUAUUUGGAUGUUUGGUUGUCAUGUGGACCAGGAUGUGAGUCUCUGACCGUCAAGAAGCUUCUGGUCUUCGUGUCUGGCCGGGGGACACACUGAGCUUCCCCACACAGCCCACUAUGGAGUUCCCGCACACUCGGGGAGGGGGGGACGACGACACACAUACUCCAGACGUAGAGGAGUCCAGGACCUCAGGCAUACUCCAGGCGUAGAGGAGUCCAGGACCUCAGGCAUACUCCAGACGUAGAGGAGUCCAGGACCUCAGGCAUACUCCAGACGUAGAGGAGUCCAGGACCUCAGGCAUAUUCCAGACGUAGAGGAGUCCAGGACUUCAGGCAUACUCCAGACGUAGAGGAGUCCAGGACCUCAGGCAUACUCCAGACGUAGAGGAGUCCAGGACCUCAGAAAGUACUCCAGACACUCAUGCUGGCUUGAGAAGCCUCAGUGGAGAAACCAGGUAGACUAAGACAGUGAGCAGGUCAAUGCCUCAGACAUCUAAGAACAAGACGGCUGUUUGGUCCUUGCAACAUGUGUCCCUCCAGUUAAAGAUCAGGUGUCAGUCUGACUGUUUAUUAUCUCUGCAUUAUCUCUGGGCAGUCCCAGGUUCACUAUCUACAGUAUGUGAAGUUUAUCCAGGGUGGUCCUCCUGAGAAACAAACUACAGACACAAAACGAGAUGCUGUCACCUUCACCCUGACUGGGGGUUCCGUUCUGGAACACUUUGUUGGUGACACAUCUGACGUGCUAAAGUUCUGUAGAUAAUAGCCCCUGGGCCAGAGGGCCAAAGAGGGAUCCACAUGUUUCAGCUUAUUGAUUACUGUUUUGGUGACUAACUUUUAUUCAUGGCUGUGAUUACUACAUUUGUUAUAGUCCCUGUCUUUUAUUCAUGGCUGUCAGAGGUAGUCAGUGGCUUUUCCAUGUCACUUACGUAAUUCUGAUUAUGUAAAUAGUUAAGCAACGAUGGUGGAAACAUCAUCAUAUCACCCACAUUAAACCACAACACAGACCUCCAAAUAAAUGAACUUGAAGUCA